rnacentral:lncRNA from 1 species
UGCUGGCAAAAAUCUUUUGCUUGGUUUCUUACUCUAUCUUGUGUCUCAAGUAUUCAGAGCCCUAACUAAGCUCCUCGAAGUCUUUACCAGCCCAAACCUCGAGCCCAUGGAAGCUGUGCUCCACCUCCAUCCUAGGACCACUUCCGUCUUAGCGAACCUGGAGUCUAUCGCACCGACUCCACCUGUGGUCACCUCCAAAGCUAUUGGAGAACUACAGAAUCCCUAUAAGAAAGCUAUUGGACAACUC